rnacentral:rRNA from 1 species
CAUAGCGACUAUCGUGGCAUAUCAAUAAGCGGAGGAAAAGAAACUAACAAGGAUUCCCUUAGUAACGGCGAGUGAAGCGGGAAGAGCUCAAAUUUGAAAUCUUCAAGGUUCUACCUUGACGAAUUGUAGUUUAUAGAAGUGUUUUCUGUUAGUAGAGUGGCAAAAGUUCUUUGGAAUAGGACAUCAUAGAGGGUGAGAAUCCCGUAUUUGGUCAUUCUUUCUAGCUUUGUGAUACACUUUCAACGAGUCGGAUUGUUUGGGAAUGCAGUCCAAAAUGGGUGGUAAAUUUCAUCUAAAGCUAAAUAUUGGCGAGAGACCGAUAGCGAACAAGUACCGUGAGGGAAAGAUGAAAAGAACUUUGAAAAGAGAGUUAAACAGUACGUGAAAUUGUCAAAAGGGAAGCGUUUGACACCAGUGUUGUUUUUCCGAAAAUCAAUUACGAAUGUUUUGUUUUUGAGAAGUUAUGACUUCAUCGGCUUGCUUCUCUCUUUACGAAACUUUCUUAAUGCACUUUUCGGUUAACAAGUCAACAUCAAUUUCUUUUGUUGUAAAAGGGUAUGAGGAAGGUGGCUUUCUUUUCGGAGAAAGUGUUUAUAGCCUUGUACCUCUGCAAUCGGAGAGAUUGAGGUCUGCAGCGUAGAUCCUUCGGGGUUAGAUACAUUUGUGCUAAGUUAUAGCUUUUCAUAGACAACUUGUUGACUAUGUUAAGUCUUGUAGCUUACUCGCUUAUGCUAUUUUACCUACGCUUAGGAUGUUGAUAUGCAUGACUGAUAU